AAAAUACAUGUGCUAACAAUUUUCAAUGUGAAUUUCAAAAAUUAUAUGAUCCAAAUUGUCUCCCUUCCUUGCUUCCCUCUCCAAGAUGUAAAGCAAUUUGAUCUGGAUUAUAUGUGCUUUAUUAUGCAAAACAUACUUCCAUAAUGGUCAUUGUUAUAAGAGGAUACUCAUAUAAAACCAAAACCUACAAAUAAAACUGUAAAUAGAUUAAUGUGAUAAAAGUAUUUUAGUUUGCAUUCCACUCAAACAGGUCUUUCUCUCAAAAUGAAUAGAAUUUUUUUUUAUCAUAAGUUCUUCAGAAUUGACCUAGAUCACUCUGUUGCUUAGAGUAGUUGUCUUACAUACUGCUCAUCUUAUAUUAUUGCUUUUAUUAUUUACAGUGUUCUUCAGGUUCUGCUUAUUUCUCUCUGCAUCAGUUCAUGUAGAUAUUACAAGGAAGCCUUUUGGAAGAAUUGCUAUGGUGAAAUACUGAAGUAGUACACUUCACAACUUUUUAAAUUUAUGAACCAAAUUUGCAUUUGAUCUUCAUGACUUUUGGAAAGCAGAGCAAAUUCUGUUAUCUCCAAUUUUCAAAGAAAAGCUCAGAGAAGUUAAUUGAUUUGCCCAAGGUCACAAAACAGAGACCAGAUUUUCUGUCAGAGCCAGGCCUCUUAACUAUCAAUAAGAAAUAACAAAGCAAGAAGAGGGCCAACCCUUCAUCUGCAUAAGAAGAUAUUGUCAAAAAAUCAGCAGAAGAGAUAGUCAAAAUAUUGGUUUGACAAGAUUUUGCCUUUUCCUCUCUUGUGUUGCCUCCUAGAGGCUCCUU
rnacentral:lncRNA from 1 species